rnacentral:rRNA from 1 species
AGAGGAUGAUCAGCCACACUGGGACUGAGACACGGCCCAGACUCCUACGGGAGGCAGCAGUGGGGAAUAUUGCACAAUGGGCGAAAGCCUGAUGCAGCAACGCCGCGUGAGGGACGACGGCCUUCGGGUUGUAAACCUCUUUUAGCAGGAAAGAAGCGAAAGUGACGGUACCUGCAGAAAAAGCGCCGGCUAACUACGUGCCAGCAGCCGCGGUAAUACGUAGGGCGCAAGCGUUAUCCGGAAUUAUUGGGCGUAAAGAGCUCGUAGGCGGUCUGUCGCGUCUGCUGUGAAAACCCGAGGCUCAACCUCGGGCCUGCAGUGGGUACGGGCAGACUAGAGUGCGGUAGGGGAGAUUGGAAUUCCUGGUGUAGCGGUGGAAUGCGCAGAUAUCAGGAGGAACACCGAUGGCGAAGGCAGAUCUCUGGGCCGUAACUGACGCUGAGGAGCGAAAGGGUGGGGAGCAAACAGGCUUAGAUACCCUGGUAGUCCACCCCGUAAACGUUGGGAACUAGUUGUGGGGUCCAUUCCACGGAUUCCGUGACGCAGCUAACGCAUUAAGUUCCCCGCCUGGGGAGUACGGCCGCAAGGCUAAAACUCAAAGGAAUUGACGGGGACCCGCACAAGCGGCGGAGCAUGCGGAUUAAUUCGAUGCAACGCGAAGAACCUUACCAAGGCUUGACAUAUACGAGAACGGGCCAGAAAUGGUCAACUCUUUGGACACUCGUAAACAGGUGGUGCAUGGUUGUCGUCAGCUCGUGUCGUGAGAUGUUGGGUUAAGUCCCGCAACGAGCGCAACCCUCGUUCUAUGUUGCCAGCACGUAAUGGUGGGAACUCAUGGGAUACUGCCGGGGUCAACUCGGAGGAAGGUGGGGAUGACGUCAAAUCAUCAUGCCCCUUAUGUCUUGGGCUUCACGCAUGCUACAAUGGCCGGUACAAAGGGCUGCAAUACCGCGAGGUGGAGCGAAUCCCAAAAAGCCGGUCCCAGUUCGGAUUGAGGUCUGCAACUCGACCUCAUGAAGUCGGAGUCGCUAGUAAUCGCAGAUCAGCAACGCUGCGGUGAAUACGUUCCCGGGUCUUGUACACACCGCCCGUCAAGUCAUGAAAGUCGGUAACACCUGAAGCCGGUGGCCCAACCCUUGUGGAGGGAGCCGUCGAAGGUGGGAUCGGUAAUUAGGACUAAGUCGUAACAAGGUAGCCGUACCGGAAGGUGCGGCUGGAUCACCUCCUUUCUA